GGCCGCGUAGCUCAGUUGGCUAGAGCGCCGACAUUCUAAGCCGGAUGCCGUAGGUUCGAAUCCUGCCGUGGUCA
rnacentral:tRNA from 1 species